UACGAAGGGGGCGAGCGUUGUUCGGAUUUACUGGGCGUAAAGGGCGCGCAGGCGGCUCAUUUUGUCAGGCGUGAAAGCCCCGGGCUUAACCUGGGAACUGCGUUUGAUACGGAUGGGCUAGAGUUCGGGAGAGGAGAGUGGAAUUCCCAGUGUAGAGGUGAAAUUCGUAGAUAUUGGGAAGAACACCGGUGGCGAAGGCGGUUACCUGGAGUGAUGCUGACGCUGAUGCGCGAAAGCGUGGGGAGCGAUCCGG
rnacentral:rRNA from 1 species